CAGUCGCCGCGGGAAUACGUAGGGUGCGAGCGUUGUCCGGAAUUACUGGGCGUAAAGAGCUCGUAGGUGGUUUGUUGCGCCGUCUGUGAAAUUCCGGGGCUUAACUUCGGGGUGGCAGGCGAUACGGGCAUAACUAGAGUGCUGUAGGGGAGACUGGAAUUCCUGGUGUAGCGGUGGAAUGCGCAGAUAUCAGAAGGAACACCGAUGGCGAAGGCAGGUCUCUGGGCAGUAACUGACGCUGAGGAGCGGAAGCAUGGGGAGCGAACAGGAUUAGAUACCCCAGUAGUCCCUGUCUCUUAUA
rnacentral:rRNA from 1 species